ensembl:lncRNA
UAGUAUUUAAUGAAUAAACCUGGACAUAAAAAAUCCUAAACCCACAGUGACAAGGAUAAACAAUGGAACAGUAAACAGUAACAUAAUUUUGGUAAAAUGCUAUCAGGACAGCAAAGCUGUGGAAUUCCUGUGAAAUUGUUUUCCUUCUGCCCCUUUUUCUUAUGAUUUUCCUUGGUUGAAAAGGGAGGAGGAGAGAGCAGAUUGUAACAGUAGUUUCUAAAAUCACCUCUCUUCUUUCUGUGAAUACAGGUUCCUAAAAGCACAUUGAUCAUUUUCAACUUGGAAGCUUUUCUGUAAUAAAACUGUUUUGUAGUAGUAGACAAGUUUGGGGGUGUUUAUUGUGUUACUGUCUGUUGGAAGACCUGCAAAACCCUUUUCUAUCAUGCUGAGGGUCCAAGGUUCUGUCAUCCAAAGAUCCCCUUGCAUGUGCACCCUUCCACUCCCCAGCUCUGGCUCCAGGCACAGCUGUCCAGCUGUCCCUGCCCAGAGUGAUCAGAGACAUCAGCAGAUAUGAGUACUCUGAGAGAACAGGAAUACAGGAAAAAAGCGAUUGGGAUAAGUCAGGUGUUGACUUAAUCAUGAUCUUUUUAACAAGAAGCAGAAAUUUUCCUCUGCAAGCAGUCAUGAGGCAGUAGGUCCACUGCCAAAUGUCCCUUCUAAUUAUCUGAUUAAGAAAAUAAACAUGACUAUCUGACAUUCUAUAGCACAAGUGCCUCCGCAGUGAUGCGGUCCAAGGGCUGUCCAGGGAAGUAGUUGUGGGUUUUUCAGGUUAUCUCACUUCUGUCCUCACAAUGCAAAUGUUUAAAUAUUGCUGGUCUUUGCUGCAGACCCACUCCUUAGAAAUCAGGGGUGGAGUUUCUGGAACUGUUUAAACCUAAAUAACUGACCGUGCUGAAAGGAAGUGUUCCAGUGUUCCUCCCCUCUCAGCUUUGAAAUUUGUUCCUGCACCUCCCUUGUGCUGGCAUCGGAGCCAAAGCAGAGGCAGCCUGGGUGCUGAUGUGGGGUAACAUCCCAUGGGAGGUGAGAAGACAUCCUCCUCCUCCUCCUGGGCUUUGUGUCCUGCAGAGAGCUUGUCAGUGCAAUGGAGGCACGACCCUGGCCACCAGUAAGCCACCAGUAAGCACCAGUAAGCCCCACUGUGCUCCACAAUUUUAGGAUUGCGGGGAAGGAAAGGGAUAGAGUAAUAUUUGGUAAAAUCACUGGGGUAUAGAAAUCUAUUUGAGGGUGCAAAAUGUCGUGGUGUGCUGGUGUGGGAAGAGGUGAGAGCUGGGUUGGUGGAAGGGAGAAUAGGGAGAAAGGAACACAAACUCGGUGGAUAUUGUCCGGGCUUGGGAUCGUGCUUAGGGAUCCUUGUAGGGCUUAGUCAGUGGUGGAGCAUGUGCUGACAGCAGCAGCUCUAGCAGCACAGAAACAGCAGAAUUUGGUUAUGAUGCUCUCUGGGAGGUACCACACUUUCCUGUAGAAACCCCUGAAGCUAACAGGCUCUGGGCUCGAGAGAGAGAAACCACUCAAGCAAUCCAUCUGGAACUAAUGGGGUUUAUGCCUUUGAUAGGGCUGAGCUUUUUCAUACACCUUCUGUAGCCUUUGAGUCUGCUGAGACCUGAACCUUGCUAUAAUCAUUUCCACACAGGACAACAAAGGUUGCUAUUUAACCCAAAAUUUAGUCUGAUAUACCCUCCCUGGCAAAUAAGCUUGAAUAAUUACUGCAAAUUAUUUAAAAAAAAAAUCUGUCUUAAUUAUAUCUCAGAGGAUGAAAAUUUCCCACCUUGUCUGAGUGCAGAAAGAGCAGCUGGCAAAUGGAGGUUUCUCUCUGUCUUCUGUUAAUUAACGUUGGUGCCUCAUAAGGACUUACCUGAGUCAGGAAGGAGGCACCAGCCAUGCUCCUUCCCCAUCUCUGGGCAGACCCUGUGUGUCAGCUCUGGCUGCUGCCUCGGGAGGGUGGUGGUCCCAGCCUGAGGAACAGCAUCAGCGGGGACUGGUAGCUUCAGGUGGGUCUGAGUCCUGAUGGCUUGCAAAGAGACUGAAUUCCAAACAGCUGUGGAUGCCUGGACCCCUUGGGAGUUUCAUCCACCUCACCAGGCUUGAAACUGUGGGGACAGCUAUUAGGAAUCUGCCUGGACGUGACCAAAGGCAUUAGUCCACUCUACAUUAAAAAUCACUUCUGGGCCUGGGCUUGACUGCACAAAAAUAUAAAGUAGUCUGGAGAGUCUUUCAUCUCCACUACUAACAGAACAGCAAUCUCCUUACUAUUGCUGUGACAGAUGACUGUUGGAAAAUGAAACCUGUCUGUUUCAUGCAGGAAAAAAUGCCCAUGACUACCAUCAGCUGCCAUUUCCCCCAGUGUUUCCAAAAAAAAGGUAUUUCUGUCCUUGGGGUCUGCCACCACCUAUCUGUUCCUCUUGUUCAGUCUCUGAAUAUCUUAGUUGUUCCUUGCAAAUGUGCUGUGUCUGUGAUGGAGCGAGCUGCUGCUCUCCAAACACGACUGUGGAGAUUCAUCACUGGCCUGGUGAUUUUAUAAAACAUUUGCGUUCUCCAUACUUUAUUAGUCCCUGACAGACUCAAUGUUUAUAACAUACUUCUCAGCAAGCUGUUUGCAACUCAUUGCCCUGCUUGCUUUAUAGUCUAUAAAUAUUUAAUUCUUUAAUAAACUGCUUAUAUGUAAUAUCAAAUGACUGAUGUACUUCUCUCCCCUCUUCAACAGUGCUACUAUUUGCAAAACAAUUCUUUUGGUGUUUUGAAUAGCAAUACAUUCUAUACAUGCUUGAAUUUCCUUUUCCUAACUAGCAAUUUCUUCAGGGUAUUUGUUGAAUUGACAGAAAACACAAUGGCUCAUACAGUGCUCUGGGAGCAGCCCUUUCCUAAAGUCUCCAUGAGGAGACUCCCAAAUGGUCAAUUGACCAUUCCAAGUGGCGACAAUCUGAGUGUCUUGGACCCUGGGGGUGAUAUUUCUGGUUGUAUUUCCUAUUUGUGCAUGUCAGGAAGUGGCAGGAACCACUUGAGCAUGUUGGGCACUGUGCAGAGCGGGGUGCCAGAUGCUCCACAGGGGUGUCAUGGGUCAACUCACUGUGUGCUGCACCCCCACUUCUUCUGCCUCACCCACUAUGCUGCACGCUCAUUUUUGCAGCACAGAGCACAGUCCCCUUCCUGCUCCUCUUUGGCAGCACCUGUAGAAAGGGUGACUCUGACUGGGUUUGGUCCUACGCUUCCUUCCACCUUCCCUGGGGGUUUCUCUACCCGAGGAGCAGGCAGCAGGCCGCUGGACUCCCCUGUCCAGUCCCCAGCCUUUGGGCUCCUCUUGGAAUGCCAGAUCCUGUCUGACGUGCAACGGGAGCAGGAACCUUGAGCAGGAGAAGUGUCAGCCAAGUGAGACCAUGGCUAUAGCAUCGAUCUGCCCUGAAGCCUGCUCCAUGUCUGGGUCAAAAAACCCUCUGAGGCUGUCAGCCAGCCAUUGUUAGGGUGAUGGCCUGCACCUGGCUACACCAGGAUCUAUGGCAGAGUGGACAGGCCUUUGGAGCUGGCAGGGAGGGCUGUCCAUCAGCAGGGACACGGGAGGGGAUGGUGACACUGCACUACCAUGUUUGUGCCACCCAGCCUGUGUGUGAGUCCUUGUCUUACCCUGCAUCUUGGGGCAGGUUUCUGCUCAGGCUUUGCCCUUUAGUCUCUUCUCUAAGGCUCAUGGCAUGCCAAGGCACCAUUAAGGACUGGGCAUCCUGCCCUGCAAAAACCACGUGGGGAAAGCUUCAGCUCCUGGAAUGAUAAGGGUGUGGUGGGGGCAUAUCCUUUCUGUAGAGUUGCUUUCUCUUGGUUUUGGUUGUCCAUAUUCCCAGGCUCUGUUUGGUCUGGACACCUUGGUACUGAGCUGCUUUGAGGCUGGAGACCAGAAAGAUGAGGCAGAGCCAGGUGGCACCAUUGGGGUUGGCAUUCUGCAGUGUCCAGACCUGCAGUGUCACAGGGCUGGGGUCAGGAAGCCAUGGGCUGGGCAGUCAAUGGGGUGGAACUAGAUUUUCAUUAAGCACCCUUCCAACCCAAACUAUUCCAUGAUAUGAUUAUAUGAUCUGCUUAGAUCAUUCCAUCUGAUCAUGGCUGCUCUGUUCCUCACAGACAGCUUUGGGCUGCUCACUGGGUCUGGGCUGGUUUGACUGCAGAUUCCUUCCCACCAGGGUGGCAACA